UUUCAGGCCCAGAGGAAAGGCCAUUGGUCUGGGGCUGCGUCCCUGCUUGCUCAGCACCCCCAAUGAGACAACCAUUCUCUCCCAGAAGGAUAACAAAAUUCUCAGCAAGUUUUGGAGAAUUCGAGAAAUUCGAGCACACGUUUAUAAACUAAAGGAAAAAUCUCUCUGCAGAGUAAACUGAUAACUGGAAAAGCAUUCCUGGAACCUGAUGCAAAUAGCUAACGCUGCCCGGCUCCCUCCCUGUUGAUGUGGCAGAGUUUGAAGCUGGCAGUCGUCAGCCAUUUGGUGGGAGGCCGUGGAUCCAGAGGAAACAAUGAGGAUGGAGAAAACUGAAAGGGAAUUUUUAAAGAGGGAGACAUUUUUGUUCCAGCAGUUUUUUACACAUUAUUUUGACCUUCUCUUUCUUGCCACUUAGUGAGGAAGAUAGCUAAUUAAAUGUUUGUGUUAUUGGAGGAGUUCUUUAAUGCUUAUAAAUGUAAGCAUUUGUAAUCUAAACCGAUUUGUAAUCUAAACAGAUGUCUGUUAACUAUUUUGUGCCUCCAAACAAAGGAGAAUCUUUGUGAAUGAAUGGGAGUGGGGGCUGGUGGGGUGGGACGGGGAAGAAAACUGACCCAAAGCCUAAACUGAGAGUCUUGGGGAUGGCUGUGAUGAUGUGGCUGAGUGAAGGGAAGCCUAGGUGACUGGGUGGGGGGAUUGGAGACCCAGUAGGAGGAAAAAAAAUAGUAAGAGACUAAAGCAGGAUCCAGGCAGAGAGCGGAGGAGGGGAGAUAAAGAAGAAAGGAGCUAGAUAGCAAAGACCUCUGGAUUUUGCUGUUAGGCAGUUAACACCUGGGUUCCUAUUCCUAAAUUGUUCUCCAUUGAAAAUAAGAUGAUCCCUUCAGCUCCCUACAGCUCUCAGUUUACAAAUCAGGCCACACCAUAAAGUUUGGCAAGAGGAGGGUCAAGAGACCCUCUGAUUGAAAAAAUCCAGAGCAGACCUGGAAGGGGAGGAUGCAGGGAAUGGAGGGAGGUGGUAGAUGUAUAAUCAUGGCUGAUCCUGUUGUAUGGCAGAAACCAACACAACACUGUACAGCAA
ensembl:lncRNA